rnacentral:rRNA from 1 species
UACGUAGGGGGCAAGCGUUGUCCGGAAUCAUUGGGCGUAAAGCGCGUGUAGGCGGCUCAGUAAGUCCGCUCUGAAAGCCCGGGGCUUAACCCCGGGAGGCGGGUGGAUACUGCUGAGCUUGAGUCCGGAAGAGGCGAGUGGAAUUCCCGGUGUAGCGGUGAAAUGCGCAGAUAUCUGGAGGAACACCGGUGGCGAAGGCGGCAUCCUGGACCGGCAUUGACGCUGAGGAGCGAAAGCCAGGGGAGCAAACGGG